AGUACCCCAAGUCCUUCCAGGGCAGAACCUCAAAACCCCCACAGGAGUGAUACGAGGUAUGGAACUGGGUUCCUGGACAGCCAGCCUUGUAGGUGUGCACAGACAUCCUCUUCAUUGUGAUGCUGUCACUAAUACUGUAAAAGAUUGGUCAUUGUUCAGUAGGAGAAAAGAAUUCUAUGGCCAGAUACACAUGGCUGUCUGCACAUGACAGUCAUAAUGCCCCCACUGGCUCUAAGAAUUCCUGAAACAAGGGGCUCAUCUGACCUGACGUCAUGUGUGACCAUAAAGUCCAUCUCCCACGGACGUGAGCUGAGGGAGCAGAAGCCAGAUUGUGUGCCCUUCCCCACACGAAGAGCCUCAGGUCUUGGUAGAGCAGCACGACAUUCUGGUGUGGCCAUAAGAGGGUGUGGGAGGGGCAGAUGGGGGAGAAAAAUGGGGCAAGCAGCGCCUCCUCAGCCCCCCAACCCAAUGACCCUUAACAGCCACGAGCACCCACAGGAGCAGGUGUUUUAGGACAGCCAGUCGAGAAGGCGAGCAGACAUUGCCAAUUCACCUUUCCGGAGUUGUCUUCUGUUCCGCGUGGGGAGAAGAUGAUCGAGGAGGCUGCUGGGAGCAUAGGGGAGGCACCUUGUGCCCACACACAUCUGGGGAUGAACUCUUGGGGUCAUGCGGAGUGAGUCCUAACUGUGUACGGCUUUAGAGGGCGUCUCCAACUCAACCAACCGCUCAGUGCUCAGGGCAGUCUUAUCUCAUGGAUACAUCAUGACAGAUGCCAAUGGCAAUGUAAUCAUCAGAAAGUAUUCUUUAAAUUUCUUGAAGCAAGCAACCAGAAAUAUUAAAGAUAAGCCUAAAUAUAAGGCAGCCCUCUGUAACCCA
rnacentral:lncRNA from 1 species